rnacentral:ncRNA from 1 species
UCGAGCCGUACGAGGAGAAAACUUCUUAUACGGUUCUGGGGGGGGUACUUAAAAUUUACAUCUAUCCCAAU